rnacentral:lncRNA from 1 species
UAUUAGUAUCAAUAUGAGCGUUACAACUACAAAACAUAUUGCCCAAUUAUAUAACAUGAGUUUAAGGCAUACAUAGUUAUGAUGAAAAUUACACGUAUGCCAUUAACAGCAACAUAAGCUCUAUUUACUACUUUAUCAUGAAAAUUACAUAUAUGUCAUUAGGAGAAAAAAUUCUACACUUGAAUAUUAUUUUUCUCUAUCAUACUCCACAACUACAUCCAAAUUUUUAUGGAUCAUGAGGGUUGGAGCAAUAGCGACAGGAAACGACAGCGUUCGCGACAGAUGGCGAGCGAGAGUUCGAAACGAGCAGCAUCUUCGGAGGGUACUAAGAUUAGUGGGUGUGCUGUCGCCUCGUCGUGUCCUGGGUUUUCUUUUACGGCUGGAGCUCCUCUCUUUUCGAUGGUUGACGGGUCGUCCUCUUUCUCGAACAUGACGUUUCGAUUCGAGCUUUUUGAACGAGUCUUUCUUUGAUUUUGUGGAGUCUAAUGGGCGUGGCCUUUAAGGGUAAGUUUGAAAUGAUUCAGAGGUUGAAGAUGGGAUUUUGCGAGGUGUCGUGGGGUCAAAUGCAUCUAAAAAGAUACAAAGUAGGAGCCAUUCAAUUUGAGAUUGAUAUAAGCGCCCCCCACGUAGCUCAAUUCAAGUCCCAAAGGCUACUAGAAAGAGCUAUGGAAGGAAAUGGAAAUUGUAACGCAAGAUCCUCCUCUCCGCCAUGGAGUCUCCCCUCUACCGCUUGUGUAGUCCCCCUCUACCAGCUGGGUAGGUCCUGUUGCCAUUCUCCUCUCCGAUCUUGGAGCUUCUGCUUACUUCGGUUCUCCGUCUCUUCCUCUUGUUGAUUUUCCUUCGUCGCGAUGUCUAAACUUCAAAAUCUCCAUUGAGUGCUCGGAAACCCUAAUUUCUGCCCCUUCACUCUUCGUUCGCCGAUUUCUUUCCCCUCAAGGUACCCCUCUCUCUUCCCUCAUCUGAGCUCCCUUCAACCCUCAAAUCCACUAAUCACCCAAAUUCCCAUUCCCCUACAAACAAAAUAUGGCUGAUCAGAACAACGAAGACAGGAGACUUGGGGCUCUCUGCAAAAGUAUGGGCAACCUCUGGAAUGCAGUCGACGUUGUCGAUAUCCCAGGUGCAAUCUCUCCUGAAAAAUUACUUGAGUGUCGCAAAACCCUAUUUGGCCGAUUUUACACAAACCCUGCUUUGAACUUCAAUGCUUUUAUAAGCCUUAUGAGAAAAGCUUGGAGGACGGAGAACUUUACCUGUGCGACGCUAGAACCUAGUUUUUUCUCCUUCUCCUUCCAAUCGGAAGCUGAGAAAUAGAGAGUACUCCAAUCUGGGCCUUGGUCUUUCUCCAGCCAUCUUCUCGUACUUAUGCAGUGCGAACCUGACACACCUGAGUUCUGUUAUGAUUUUAAUCAUUGUGAUUUCUGGGUAAAGUUUAUAGGCUUACAUUAUGGGAGAGUUACUUAUGAUGUUAUCGAGGCAAUUGCUUCCAAACUUGGAGUAGUUGUCGAAGUGAAACUGGAGGAAAAGGGAAAUAGCACC